rnacentral:rRNA from 1 species
CAUGUACGAGUUUGAUCAUGGCUCAGAGCGAACGCUAGCGGCGGGCUUAACACAUGCAAGUCGAGCGGAGAGCUUCGGCUCUCAGCGGCGAACGGGUGAGUAACACGUAGGUCACGUACCCUUUGAUGGGGAAUAACCUAGGGAAACCUGGGCUAAUACCGCAUAUGUCCUUCGGGAUGAAAGCCUUCGGGCGUCAGAGGAUCGGCCUGCGGCCCAUUAUUUAAUCCUAGUUGGUAGGGUAAUGGCCUACCAAGGGUACGAUGGGUAGCUGGUCUGAGAGGAUGAUCAGCCACACUGGAACUGAGACACGGUUCAGACUCCUACGGGAGGCAGCAGUGGGGAAUAUUGGACAAUGGGCGAAAGCCUGAUCCAGCCACGCCGCGUGGGUGAUGAAGGCCUUCGGGUUGUAAAGCCCUGUCGGGAGGGACGAAUCAAUGACGGUACCUCCCAAGAAAGCACCGGCUAACUCCGUG